rnacentral:rRNA from 1 species
CGAGUUUGAUCCUGGGCUCAGGAUGAACGCUAGCGGCAGGCUUAACACAUGCAAGUCGAGGGUAUUGGUUUCGGACCAAGAGACCGGCGCACGGGUGCGUAACGCGUAUGCAAUCUACCUUUGCAGAGGGAUAGCCCAGAGAAAUUUGGAUUAAUACCUCAUAGUAUAGUACUUUGGCAUCAAGGAACUAUUAAAGUCACAACGGCAAAAAGAUGAGCAUGCGUCCCAUUAGCUAGUUGGUAAGGUAACGGCUUACCAAGGCUACGAUGGGUAGGGGUCCUGAGAGGGAGAUCCCCCACACUGGUACUGAGACACGGACCAGACUCCUACGGGAGGCAGCAGUGAGGAAUAUUGGACAAUGGGCGCAAGCCUGAUCCAGCCAUGCCGCGUGCAGGAAGAAGGCCUUCGGGUUGUAAACUGCUUUUGUACGGAACGAAAAGGCUCUUUCUAAUAAAGAGGGCCCAUGACGGUACCGUAAGAAUAAGCACCGGCUAACUACGUG